ACAUGCAUUAAACGUUGAAAAAUGUUUUCAAAAACUGUUCUAACAAUUUACCAUAAAAUUCAUCAAAUGACAUAUGUAUUUCUUAUUAUACCGUACUCAUUCGCCAUACAACAUUACACGAUUGUAUACAACUGGACAUAAAGUUGCAGCGUAAUAUAAGGAACUUCAUUUACAGCCGUCAAUUCCUGGGGGUCCUGCUGAAAUACAACAUUUCUUAUUCUUGGAUUCAGACAGUUGAGGUUAUAGUUAGUAUAAACGAAAUUACUGAUCAUUUUAAAAUAAUAAUUGUUUUGCCUUACUUUAAGAAACUUGAAUAUUGGCAACCGAUUCUGGCAAGUUUGCCGACUGGCCACAUAUCUUCUAUUUUUAAUUUAAUAACCAUUUGUGGUAAGAAGAGUAAUAAAUAAUGAUGAUUAAAAUAAUUAUUAAUUUUUGUAUUUUUUUAACGAACAUAAUUUACAGCGACCAAUUUUUGUGGCAUUUGCUGAGUGGCUACAAACCAUCUUUUUUAAUUUGAAUAGUCGUGUUUGAUUAUACCGCACUACCAACACUAAAAAUUCGUUCCACUGGUGUACACGGCAAUGACAACGACAGACAGAAGGUCUAUUUACAAAAUGUAAUUGCAAUUCACUUUUUUUUUUUACAUUGGACUACUACCAAAACAUUAAUUAUGGUACUUAGUGUUUUGUAACUAUUUUUUUUUGUUUUUUAUUUAAAAAAA